rnacentral:rRNA from 2 species
GAGCAUGUGGUUUAAUUCGAAGCUACGCGAAGAACCUUACCAGGUCUUGACAUCUUGCGCCAACCCUAGAGAUAGGGCGUUUCCUUCGGGAACGCAAUGACAGGUGGUGCAUGGUCGUCGUCAGCUCGUGUCGUGAGAUGUUGGGUUAAGUCCCGCAACGAGCGCAACCCUUGUUACUAGUUGCCAGCAUUAAGUUGGGCACUCUAGUGAGACUGCCGGUGACAAACCGGAGGAAGGUGGGGACGACGUCAGAUCAUCAUGCCCCUUAUGACCUGGGCUACACACGUGCUACAAUGGACGGUACAACGAGUCGCGAACUCGCGAGG